GUCUGGAUAGUGUAUAAAACACACCACCUUUUCGAGGUGGAGAAGAACAUUGUUCUCUAGAUA
rnacentral:tRNA from 1 species